UGGGUGAUCUGCCCUGCACUUCGGGAUAAGCCUGGGAAACUGGGUCUAAUACCGGAUAUGACCUUGGGAUGCAUGUCCUUUGGUGGAAAGCUUUUGCGGUGUGGGAUGGGCCCGCGGCCUAUCAGCUUGUUGGUGGGGUUAAGGCCUACCAAGGCGACGACGGGUAGCCGGCCUGAGAGGGUGACCCGGCCACACUGGGACUGAGACACGGCCCAGACUCCUACGGGAGCA
rnacentral:rRNA from 1 species